rnacentral:misc_RNA from 1 species
UCCGAGUUAGACCCGGCAGUCUCGCUAGACAUAGUAACUAGCGACGAGGGUUGCGCUCGUUGCGGGACUUAACCCAACACCUCACGGCACGAGCUGACGACAGCCAUGCAGCACCUGUAUACGCUCCCUUGCGGGUCGGUCACCUUUCGGAUCCCUACCACGUAUAUGUCAAGCCCAGGUAAGGUUCUUCGCGUUGCAUCGAAUUGAACCACAUGCUCCACCGCUUGUGCGGGCCCCCGUCAAUUCCUUCGAGUUUCAACCUUGCGGCCGUACUCCCCAGGCGGACGACUUAAUGCGUUAGCUGCGGCACGGAAUGGACUAACCCACCCCACACCUAGUGCCCAUCGUUUACGGCGUGGACUAC